rnacentral:rRNA from 1 species
GACGAACGCUGGCGGCGCGCUUAACACAUGCAAGUCGAACGGAAAGGCCUGCUUUCCCUUGUGGAUUGCGGGUACUCGAGUGGCGAACGGGUGAGUAACACGUGAGUGAUCUGCCCCCAACUUGGGUAUAAGCCUGGGAAACUGGGUCUAAUUCCCGAUAGGACUGCAGGGUGGUGCCUGUGGUGGAAAACGAUUUUCUAGUGGUUGGGGAUGAGCUCGCGGCCUAUCAGCUUGUUGGUGGGGUAAUGGCCUACCAAGGCGGCGACGGGUAGCCGGCCUGAGAGGGUGGACGGCCACAUUGGGACUGAGAUACGGCCCGGACUCCUACGGGAGGCAGCAGUGGGGAAUAUUGCACAAUGGGCGGAAGCCUGAUGCAGCGACGCCGCGUGGGGGAUGACGGCCUUCGGGUUGUAAACUCCUUUCGACCGCGAGGAAGCCACCUGGUUGGAAGGGUGGUGACGGUAGUGGUAGAAGAAGCACCGGCUAACUACGUG